rnacentral:rRNA from 1 species
CUAAGGUAGCAUAAUCAUUUGCUACUUAAUUGGUAGCUAGUAUAAAUGGCUUGACGAGACAUUGACUAUCCUAUACAAACGAAUAAACUUGAGCUAAAAGUUAAAACCCUUUUAUUCCCUAGAGGGACGACAAGACCCUAGGAUCUAGUAAAUAAAAUAUGCAUGUCACUGGGGCGGUGUUAUCUACACUCAAAUAAUACUAUCACAUAUUGAAUGGCUCUCACUAACUUAAAAAAACUCAAACAGGUACCCUAGGGAUAACAGCGCAAUCUUAUCCAUAGAGCUCCUAUCGACGGAAAGGAUUACGACCUCGAUGUUGAAUUGAAAAU